AUGGCAUUGCACAACAAAGGCACUAGGUCCACUUCCGCCUCUUCCAGCUUCACUGGUGGGGAAGGGCAAAGACAAAGGCCGCUCUGGAGAUUCGGCCGUGAAGCAGGUGCAGAUCGACAGCCUAGUAGUAUUAAAGAUAAUCAAACAUUAUCAAGAAGGACAAGGAACUGAGGUUGUUCAAGGAGUGCUUCUGGGACUGGUUGUAGAAGAUCGACUAGAGAUUACCAAGCACACAGAGGAUGAUGCUGACUUUGAUGAAGUGCAAUAUCAGAUGGAGAUGAUGCUCAGCCUUCCCCACGUCAACACUGAUCACUUCCACUUGGACUGGUAUCAGUCCACAUAUUAUGGCUCCUUCGCUACCCAGGCACUUCUAGAUUCUCAGUUCAGUUACCAGCACACCAUUGAAGAAUCUGUCGUUCUCAUUUACGAUCCCAAGGAUCUCUCUCACUGAAGGCAUAAAGACCGACUCCUAAACUGAUGCCAGUGUGUAAAGAGGACUUUUCUCCUGAAGCACUGAAAAAAGCAAACAUCACCUUUGAGCAUAUGCUUGAAGAAGUGCCGAUUGUAAUUAACAUUUGGUGAAGAAUCUUCAGUUGCUGAUGGAUCAGGUAGAUGAAAUGAGCUAGGACAUAAUCAAGUACACAUACAUGAGGAACACCAGUAAACAGCAGCAGCAAAAGCAUCAGUAUCAGCAGUGUCGCCAGCAGGAGAGUAUGCAGCGAGAGAGUCUAAGCGAGCCCCUGCUCCCUGAGGAGGACUCUUUAUGUGUCAUCUCAGCACCAAGACUCUUUGGAGUUGGAGCCUCUGAAAGCAUCACGGUCCAAGCUGAUGACUACAUUGAAGCAUGCACUCAAUGCAACUGUCUCUGUAAAAAGUUACCCUGA